AUAUUAUAAAAAUUAUAAUAAUUAAUAUUAUAGUAAUUAAUAUCUUUGAUCAAUGCAUCUGUGAUUAGGCAAAGCACCAUAUUGCUUUUGUCAGAAAGCUUCUAAUCUUGUUUUGCCAGUGAAUUGGCACUACUUGUUUCCUUCAGCUGGGGCUACAAGGAGUGAGACUUUUCUUGCUUAUGAAAGGCUUUGGCUGGAAAAAUGGAACGUAGAUCAAACCUUUUCUGGACAAAGUGCAAAGACCAGUUUCAGCCAUCCCACAGCAUGCUAAGAUAAAGCCCUACAGCUUUAAGUUGUGUUUAAAUAGAGAGACCAGUUUGUGGGUCAAAAGUUUGUGCUUUUGUUUGGGGUCAAAGCUAUAGUACCCUACCACCCCUUCUCAAAGCCAACAGUUUAGGGCAGUUCCAGGUUUCCACCCUUCAAGAAAACAAAAGAAAAAAUUAAAAAAAAAAUCAGAAAGUGGCUGGAAUUCUUGACAAUAAGUGUUAUUCUCCAUCAUUAUCCCAAGUUUCAAAAAUCUGCCACCACUGCUAGAAUUGGAAGGCAUGUGGAGGCACNN
rnacentral:lncRNA from 1 species